AUUGAACGCUGGCGGCAGGCCUAACACAUGCAAGUCGAGCGGAUGAAGGGAGCUGGCUCCUGGAUUCAGCGGCGGACGGGGGAGUAAUGCCUAGGAAUCUGCCUGGUAGUGGGGGAUAACGUCCGGAAACGGGCGCUAAUACCGCAUACGUCCUGAGGGAGAAAGUGGGGGAUCUUCGGACCUCACGCUAUCAGAUGAGCCUAGGUCGGAUUAGCUAGUUGGUGGGGUAAAGGCCUACCAAGGCGACGAUCCGUAACUGGUCUGAGAGGAUGAUCAGUCACACUGGAACUGAGACACGGUCCAGACUCCUACGGGAGGCAGCAGUGGGGAAUAUUGGACAAUGGGCGAAAGCCUGAUCCAGCCAUGCCGCGUGUGUGAAGAAGGUCUUCGGAUUGUAAAGCACUUUAAGUUGGGAGGAAGGGCAGUAAGUUAAUACCUUGCUGUUUUGACGUUACCAACAGAAUAAGCACCGGCUAACUUCGUG
rnacentral:rRNA from 1 species